rnacentral:rRNA from 1 species
AGUGAACGCUGGCGGUAGGCCUAACACAUGCAAGUCGAACGGCAGCACAGUAAGAGCUUGCUCUUACGGGUGGCGAGUGGCGGACGGGUGAGGAAUACAUCGGAAUCUACUCUUUCGUGGGGGAUAACGUAGGGAAACCUACGCUAAUACCGCAUACGACCUACGGGUGAAAGCAGGGGAUCUUCGGACCUUGCGCGAUUGAAUGAGCCGAUGUCGGAUUAGCUAGUUGGCGGGGUAAAGGCCCACCCAGGCGACGAUCCGUGGCUGGUCUGGGAGGAUGAUCAGCGACAUUGGAACUGAGACACGCUCCAGACUCCUACGGGAGGCAGCAGUGGGGAAUAUUGGACAAUGGGCGCAAGCCUGAUCCAGCCAUACCGCGUGGGUGAAGAAGGCCUUCGGGUUGUAAAGCCCUUUUGUUGGUAAAGAAAAGCAGCAGGUUAAUACCCCGCUGUUCUGACGGUACCCAAAGAAUAAGCACCAGCUAACUUCGUG